rnacentral:rRNA from 1 species
UACGGAGGGUGCGAGCGUUGUCCGGAAUCACUGGGCGUAAAGGGCGCGUAGGCGGCGCGGGAAGUCAUCGGUGAAAGUUCAGGGCUCAACUCUGAAUCGGCCGGUGAUACUCUCGUGCUUGAGCACUGUAGAGGCAGGUGGAAUUCCGGGUGUAGCGGUGGAAUGCGUAGAGAUCCGGAAGAACACCGGUGGCGAAGGCGGCCUGCUGGGCAGUAGCUGUCGCUGAUGCGCGACAGCGUGGGGAGCAAACAGG